AUGUAUACAUUAUGUGAUGAAAAAAUUCUCUACUCCCAAACGUUUCGAUUUUUCUGAAAAGCAAGUUAUUUAUCUGGGACCCCAAAUUUUCAUUUUGGGAAAAAAGUUAUUCAUAGUGUUGUAGUGUGUGCUAAGACUCUAACCUUCUUCGGCUUUCAGGUACUGGAGCGAUUUGAACUUCUCAAGAAGCAGAAAGAUACUGGACCCUUUAGGAAGCAAGAUUUUGAUGACCGGAUCUUAAAACAGCAGCAAGAAGAGGAGGAAAGGAAGCGUCAACGUAGAGAGAGGAAGAAAGAGAAAGUUUGUUCCAAAUCUAUUUUCCCUUUUUUUCUUCCUGUUGAUAAGCAUAGAUACACAAGCUUACUUAACGAAGGAAAAAGGAAAAUUGACGAGAUGCACAUGCUCCAAUUUAUGUUACUUGAGGAGAAAUAUAAUAUGAUUUUUGGCUAUUGAUUUGUUAUAUGGAUCAGAAAGAGAAGGCAGCAGAGGAGGAAACUGAGGUAGAUGCUGAUGUUGCAGCAAUGGUGGGAUUUGGGGUUUUGGUUCAUCCAAAAAGUGAUUUUAAGAUGCUUAUCCCUAGUCUAGACCUCCUGAAUUCUACUAGAAAGGGAAACUUUUCAAGUUUUUGGCUUUCCUUUCUGAAUGUAACAAAUAGUAAUGAAAGUGUUCACAUGGCUGUUGUUAUAAGGUUAACUGUUGGGGCUGAAUAUCAUUUCCAAUUUUGUACAUUUCAUCUUA